UCAAUGGGGGCAACCCUGAACGAGCAAUGCCGCGUGAGCGAAGAAGGUCUUCGGAUUGUAAAGCUCUGUUGCCGGGGAAAAAGGAAGGAAAGAGGAAAUGCUUUUCUUUGGAUGGUACCCGGCCAGAAAGUCACGGCUAACUACGUGCC
rnacentral:rRNA from 1 species